GACGAACGCUGGCGGCGUGCCUAAUACAUGCAAGUAGAACGCUGAAGAGAGGAGCUUGCUCUUCUUGGAUGAGUUGCGAACGGGUGAGUAACGCGUAGGUAACCUGCCUGGUAGCGGGGGAUAACUAUUGGAAACGAUAGCUAAUACCGCAUAAAAUUGAUUAUCGCAUGAUAAUCAAUUGAAAGGUGCAAAUGCAUCACUACCAGAUGGACCUGCGUUGUAUUAGCUAGUUGGUGGGGUAACGGCUCACCAAGGCGACGAUACAUAGCCGACCUGAGAGGGUGAUCGGCCACACUGGGACUGAGACACGGCCCAGACUCCUACGGGAGGCAGCAGUAGGGAAUCUUCGGCAAUGGACGGAAGUCUGACCGAGCAACGCCGCGUGAGUGAAGAAGGUUUUCGGAUCGUAAAGCUCUGUUGUAAGAGAAGAACGAGUGUGAGAGUGGAAAGUUCACACUGUGACGUAUCUACCAGAA
rnacentral:rRNA from 1 species